AAUCUUCCACAAUGGACGAAAGUCUGAUGGAGCAACGCCGCGUGAGUGAAGAAGGCCUNCGGGUCNUNAAACUCUGUCAUUGGGGNCGAAAAAAAUGACGGUACCCAAUGAGGAAGCCCCGGCUACCUACGUGCCAGCAGCCGCGGUAAUACGUAGGGGGCGAGCGUUGUCCGGAAUUACUGGGCGUAAAGGGUACGUAGGCGGCUAUAUAAGUCAGGUGUGAAAUACCAGUGCUUAACACUGGAAUUGCAUUUGAAACUGUGUAGCUUGAGUGCAGGAGAGGAAAGUGGAAUUCCUAGUGUAGCGGUGAAAUGCGUAGAGAUUAGGAGGAACACCAGUGGCGAAGGCGACUUUCUGGACUGUAACUGACGCUGAGGUACGAAAGCGUGGGUAGCGAACA
rnacentral:rRNA from 1 species